rnacentral:rRNA from 1 species
CGUGGGUAACCUGCCCGGAGGUGGGGGGCAACGUUCCGAAAGGGACGCUAAUACCGCAUGACAUCUCGAGCACCUCGGUGCUUGAGAUCAAAGCUUGCCUCUUCUUGAAAGCAAGCGCCACCGGAGGGACCCGCGCCCCAUUAGCUUGUUGGUGAGGUAACGGCUCACCAAGGCUCCGAUGGGUAGCCGGCCUGAGAGGGUGAUCGGCCACACUGGAACUGAGACACGGUCCAG